AAUGUAAUGCAUACAUCGUUAAUGCGUCGAAUCCCAUUAUAACUCUGCAGUUAAGAACACUUGGACUAAAUUAGUAUUGGGAUGAGUGACCUCCUGGGAAGUCCUAGUGUUUUACAUGC
rfam:Picea glauca, whole genome shotgun sequence.